GUGGGGAAUCUUGCGCAAUGGGGGAAACCCUGACGCAGCAACGCCGCGUGGGUGAUGAAGGCCUUCGGGUCGUAAAGCCCUGUCAGGUGGGAAGAAACAUGUUGAUGCCAAUACCAUCAGCACUUGACGGUACCACCGGAGGAAGCACCGGCUAACUCCGUGCCAGCAGCCGCGGUAAUACGGAGGGUGCAAGCGUUGUUCGGAAUUAUUGGGCGUAAAGCGCGUGUAGGCGGUCAUGUAAGUCAGAUGUGAAAGCCUUCCGCUUAACGGGAGAAGUGCAUUUGAAACUGCAUGACUGGAGUACGGGAGAGGAGAGUGGAAUUCCCGGUGUAGAGGUGAAAUUCGUAGAUAUCGGGAGGAACACCAGUGGCGAAGGCGGCUCUCUGGCCUGAUACUGACGCUGAGACGCGAAAGCGUGGGGAGCAAACAGGAUUAGAUACCCCAGUAGUCC
rnacentral:rRNA from 1 species